GGACUACAAGGGUAUCUAAUCCCGUUCGCUCCCCUGGCUUUCGCGUCUCAGCGUCAGCAGACGUCCAGGGCCUCGCUUUCGCCACGGGCGUUCCUUCCGAUCUCAACGCAUUUCACCGCUCCACCGGAAGUUCCAGGCCCCCCUACGUCCCUCCAGGGCGGUCGUAUCGGCGCCGGUUCCCCGGUUGAGCCGGGGGCUUUCAACGACCGACGUGCCGCCCCGCCUACACGCGCUUUAAGCCCAGUGAUUCCGAAUAACGUUCGCACGGUUCGUCUUACCGCGGCUGCUGGCAC
rnacentral:rRNA from 1 species